rnacentral:rRNA from 1 species
UUGGUUAAGUUAGAAAGGGCGCACGGUGGAUGCCUUGGCACUAGGAGCCGAAGAAGGACGGGACUAACACCGAUAUGCUUUGGGGAGCUGUACGUAAGCGUUGAUCCAGAGAUUUCCGAAUGGGGGAACCCACUAUCUUUAGUCGGAUAGUAUCCUUACGUGAAUACAUAGCGUGAGGAAGGCAGACCCAGGGAACUGAAACAUCUAAGUACCUGGAGGAAGAGAAAGAAAAAUCGAUUUCCUGAGUAGCGGCGAGCGAAACGGAAAGAGCCCAAACCAAGAAGCUUGCUUCUUGGGGUUGUAGGACACUCUAUACGGAGUUACAAAAGAAAGUUAUAAAUGAAGCGGUCUGGAAAGGCCCGCCAAAGACGGUAACAGCCCGGUAGUUGAAAUGGCUUUCCCUCCAGAGUGGAUCCUGAGUACGGCGGAACACGUGAAAUUCCGUCGGAAUCCGGGAGGACCAUCUCCCAAGGCUAAAUACUCCCUAGUGACCGAUAGUGAACCAGUACCGUGAGGGAAAGGUGAAAAGCACCCCGGAAGGGGAGUGAAACAGUUCCUGAAACCGUGUGCCUACAAGUAGUUAGAGCCCGUUAAUGGGUGAUAGCGUGCCUUUUGUAGAAUGAACCGGCGAGUUACGAUUUGUUGCAAGGUUAAGCGGAAAAAGCGGAGCCGUAGCGAAAGCGAGUCUGAAUAGGGCGCAUAAGUAACAGGUCGUAGACCCGAAACCAGGUGAUCUACCCAUGUCCAGGAUGAAGGUAAGGUAAUACUUACUGGAGGUCCGAACCCACGCACGUUGAAAAGUGCGGGGAUGAGGUGUGGGUAGCGGAGAAAUUCCAAUCGAACUUGGAGAUAGCUGGUUCUCUCCGAAAUAGCUUUAGGGCUAGCCUCGAGGUAAAGAGUCAUGGAGGUAGAGCACUGUUUGGACUAGGGGCCCUUCUCGGGUUACCGAAUUCAGAUAAACUCCGAAUGCCAUGUACUUAUACUCGGGAGUCAGACUGCGAGUGAUAAGAUCCGUAGUCGAAAGGGAAACAGCCCAGACCACCAGUUAAGGUCCCCAAAUAUAUGUUAAGUGGAAAAGGAUGUGGGGUUGCUUAGACAACCAGGAUGUUGGCUUAGAAGCAGCCACCAUUGAAAGAGUGCGUAAUAGCUCACUGGUCGAGUGACCCCGCGCCGAAAAUGUACCGGGGCUAAACAUAUUACCGAAACUGUGGAUGAACCUCUUUAGAGGUUCGUGGUAGGAGAGCGUUCUAAGGGCGGUGAAGUCAGACCGGAAGGACUGGUGGAGCGCUUAGAAGUGAGAAUGCCGGUAUGAGUAGCGAAAGAAGGGUGAGAAUCCCUUCCACCGAAUAUCUAAGGUUUCCUGAGGAAGGCUCGUCCGCUCAGGGUUAGUCGGGACCUAAGCCGAGGCCGAUAGGCGUAGGCGAUGGACAACAGGUAGAGAUUCCUGUACCAGUGCUAAUUGUUUAACCGAUGGGGUGACACAGAAGGAUAGGGAAUCGCACGAAUGGAAAUGUGCGUCCAAGCAGUGAGUGUGAGAAGUAGGCAAAUCCGCUUCUCGCGAAGCAUGAGCUGUGAUGGGGAAGGAAAUUAAGUACGGAAGUUCCUGAUUUCACGCUGUCAAGAAAAGCCUCUAGGAAGAGUAGUACUGCCCGUACCGCAAACCGACACAGGUAGAUGAGGAGAGAAUCCUAAGGUGAGCGAGAGAACUCUCGUUAAGGAACUCGGCAAAAUGACCCCGUAACUUCGGGAGAAGGGGUGCUCUAUUAGGGUGCAAGCCCGAGAGAGCCGCAGUGAAUAGGCCCAGGCGACUGUUUAGCAAAAACACAGGUCUCUGCAAAACCGUAAGGUGACGUAUAGGGGCUGACGCCUGCCCGGUGCUGGAAGGUUAAGAGGAGUGCUUAGCUUCGGCGAAGGUACGAAUUGAAGCCCCAGUAA